rnacentral:rRNA from 1 species
UGCCUAAUACAUGCAAGUCGAGCGCGGGAAGCAAACGGAAUCCUUCGGGAGGAAGUUUGUGGAACGAGCGGCGGACGGGUGAGUAACACGUGGGCAACCUACCUGUAAGAUUGGGAUAACUCCGGGAAACCGGGGCUAAUACCGAAUGACACUUUUCAUCUCAUGGUGAGAAGUUAAAAGGCGGCUUUUGCUGUCACUUACAGAUGGGCCCGCGGCGCAUUAGCUAGUUGGUAGGGUAACGGCCUACCAAGGCGACGAUGCGUAGCCGACCUGAGAGGGUGAUCGGCCACACUGGGACUGAGACACGGCCCAGACUCCUACGGGAGGCAGCAGUAGGGAAUCUUCCGCAAUGGACGAAAGUCUGACGGAGCAACGCCGCGUGAGUGAUGAAGGUUUUCGGAUCGUAAAACUCUGUUGUUAGGGAAGAACAAGUACCGUUCAAAUAGGGCGGUACCUUGACGGUACCUAACCAGAAAGCCCCGGCUAACUACGUGCCAGCAGCCGCGGUAAUACGUAGGGGGCAAGCGUUGUCCGGAAUUAUUGGGCGUAAAGCGCGCGCAGGCGGUCCUUUAAGUCUGAUGUGAAAGCCCACGGCUCAACCGUGGAGGGUCAUUGGAAACUGGAGGACUUGAGUACAGAAGAGAAGAGUGGAAUUCCACGUGUAGCGGUGAAAUGCGUAGAGAUGUGGAGGAACACCAGUGGCGAAGGCGACUCUUUGGUCUGUAACUGACGCUGAGGCGCGAAAGCGUGGGGAGCGAACAGGAUUAGAUACCCUGGUAGUCCACGCCGUAAACGAUGAGUGCUAGGUGUUAGGGGGUUUCCGCCCCUUAGUGCUGAAGUUAACGCAUUAAGCACUCCCGCCUGGGGAGUACGGCCGCAAGGCUGAAACUCAAAAGAAUUGACGGGGGCCCGCACAAGCGGUGGAGCAUGUGGUUUAAUUCGAAGCAACGCGAAGAACCUUACCAGGUCUUGACAUCCUCUGAUAGCGGUAGAGAUACCGUGUUCCCUUCGGGGACAGAGUGACAGGUGGUGCAUGGUUGUCGUCAGCUCGUGUCGUGAGAUGUUGGGUUAGUCCCGCAACGAGCGCACCCUUGAUCUUAGUUGCCAGCAUUAGUUGGGCACUUUAAGGUGACUGCCGGUGA